CUUGAUGACCAUAGUAAGUCGGUCCCACCCCUUCCCAUCCCGAACAGGACCGUGAAACGACUCUACGCCGAUGAUAGUGCUGCAACCAGUGUGA
rnacentral:rRNA from 1 species